GGUCUGUGCGACCAGCGGGCUAUGAUGGGCUUGGCCAUCAGUGAGGAAGUCUGAGGCCGCCGGGGAAAGAGCAUUUCUGUGAGGAGAGGGGAGGACAGUGGAGAAGGGGAGACUGAAGUGAGCGGCAGAACUGCCAUUUAUUGAGUGGAUCCCGGGAGUCAUCCGUGUGUCACACACUGAACACGCAUGUGGCAUGUCAGGGUCACACUGACCCAGGGAGAGCUUGAUGUGUGCCAGAAAUACCCCGUGUGCCCGUUGCCUUUGUUUUUCACCACUGUCGCUGGAAGAGUCCGUUUUGCCUUCUGCCUGCCCAUCUUCGUGAAGCAUUGAACUUCAGGAGAGCUACAGCCCACAUUUUGCCUCAAAGAUUUCUUCUUUGCUUUCUCCCAGUUACCAGGUUGUGAUGAAGCCUUUCAGUCAGUCCAAGGCACCCGAGCUCACUUCCUGGGUCCUUCAAAGGAGGGCGUCUUGGACUUGGGCGGCCAGCUUGACAGAUGGCAAUAAAUCAAAGCUUGCACCUCUUGCUCACGUAGCUCUCUGCUGAUGCUGGACAAACACACCUGCCGUCUACCAUCAACGUCUAGUGGACUAACUGAAUGAAUGAAUAAGUUUCUAGGCCAUCCAUUAAAGAAAUUUCUGGAACUCA